AAAAAAAAAAAAAAAAAAAAAAAAAAAUCCUCUUCUCAUUAUUUAAAUAUUAUCGUAGCUUAUUGUGUCUCCAUAUUUCUAGGCUCAGCCCCUUGCCUGCACUUCAAUCUGGAAUAUCCAGCUGUUUAACAGCUCUACUUUCCUAAAAAAUAAUGGUAUAUUUUAUAUCAAAGGAACAUUAUUUUGACUUUACUGACAUCACCAAAAGGAUAAUGGAGAUAUAUCCCAUUGAGGUCAAGCAAGCAGAUAUCUAUAAUCUGAAAAUUAAAAAAGAACAGAUAUAUGUCUAUGUAUAUGUGAUUUACUUUGCUGUACACCUGAAACUAGCACAACUUUCUAAGCCAACUAGAUUCUGAUAAAAUGUAUGAAACAAACAGAAAAAGAAAAGCAAGUAAAAUGUUUCAUAAAAUUCUGGUCCACAUUACAGAUACCUAUCUUUGGGGUGUAAAACCUGUUAGAACCAUCUUCUCCAAAGUAGAUUAAUUCUGAUUACAUAUUAUAUAAAAGAGUGAGUGUUUCAUUGUUUUGAUAUCAAUCUAAGGUUCACUACAUACUUAGGAAAUAACAGGGGUAUUUAAAAAAAAAAAAAAAAACAAGGUUUAAUGGUCUGUAACUUCCUCUGAACCUUUGAGAGUUUGGACAAAAGUAAUGGUUUUCAUACAGUGUUCAUGGGGUGCUCCGUGUCUUUGAUCCCUUAGACAUGGUGAUAGCUCAGGGAUUAAGGAGGGGUGAAGGGGAGCUGGGAAGGCUCUAUUUCCAGCAUCCUUCCCAACCCGAGUAUUUUUCUUUCAUCUGCUUUAUAAAUUGAGGCUCCCUGAAGAAUGCAAUUAGACAACAUUUAGGACUGUAUUAUAUUUUAUGAUGUCUUAGCUUUAAAAACACCUAAUCCUAUUAAGAUAAUAAGAUAUCUUAAUCCUAAUGGCUAUUACUUGAUACUCUUGUGCUGUAAAUGUUGACUCAGUCCUUAAAUAACAAAUAGGCUAUCAAUUCUCCAUGAAAAUCAGUAUUUGGAGUAUAAUGGAAGGAGCACUAGGACCGGGAGAUAGGUUUUCCAAUCAUUUCCUUUUACUGAUUAACUGUGUGAACAUAAGUCAUCCUGCCUUAUGAGGCUCUCACAGCAAUUAGUUAAUUCUAUAUAGGAGUCUGGUCUUAUUUGUCUAGUGAAGAGCUCAAGGCAAAGCUGGUAAUUUUGAAUUCAAAGGGAGUAUAUUCGAUGGAAAGCAAUCUCCGUUCUAUGACUUAUUUUAAUCAUUAAUUCACAUGAAUUUAUCAAAUGCUUUUUAAGCACAUUGUCAAUACAUGUCACUUUUAUAUAGAUUAGGGAUACAUCAGCAGUAAAAUAAAUAUGAUCCCUACCCUCACAAAGGUUAUGCUCUGGAGGAGGAGACAGACACUAAUUAAUCAGAUAUGUUGCAAAAUAGGUGUUUGUGUGUGUGGGGGGGGGGUGUCUCUAAAUCUGGUAAGAACUAAGUAAGGAGUACCAGGUAACAUGACACUGAACAGUUCAGAGCUGCACGAGAAAGCAGAACAAUGUUCCAUAAUUAGAAAGUUAAAUCACUUUAAUAAAAGAAAAGAGUUAGAGAUCAUUAUAAAUUAGUACAAAGGCUAAACUCAUGAUUAUUUUAAAAUAAAAGCUGCUUUUAUGCUUGAAGUACAGGCAAUAAAAGUAUUACUUCAUGAAAACCUCUAGGGGAACUUGUUUUAGUGACUCUAUCAUAAUAAAUUAUAAUUGGUCUUUCUGCAGUUGCAUGUACUGUGUCUUUGAAGGGCUCACAUGGCUGGAGGGUAUAUUUCUUUCAUUCUUAAUUAUCCCUACGAAAGUUUUCCUCAUUAUUAAUUUGGCCUCUCUGUGAAUGUGCUAAGUCAGUAUCAGCUUAGCUCCUUUGCCAAGGACCACUGAUGAGUGGAUUUGCAAAACACCGAGAGUACUGUAUCUAGAAGGAAUAAUCAUUGAUGCUUCCAUUUAAAUAUCAAGCUGAUAAAUAAGUAUAAUUAAUGGCAUGCAAAAUAAAGUAAGACUUUAGGUUGGUGCUAGGAUGUUUAAAGCUCAAAUAUUUCUAGAGCCAAAAUCCCAAUACUGUUAAAAUUAUCCUAUUAUCACGGAAUGUCAAACCUUUAGAUUUUUCAUGUUGAAGUAGAAAGAUACCAAAUCUAUAUAUUAAAAAUAAAUCACCAAAAUGUUUUCAUAAGAUAAUCUUCCUCAUUUUCUGUUGUCUUCAUCCAAAUUCUAAGUUAAAACAGUAAAACUGUACUCUUUUGUAAUGGAGUUAAUAUAACUGAUUUUCCACUAAUACAGUAUUUUAAACAAUUACCUAAAACAAACAAAUUAACCAAACUGUUUUACUGACUAGAAAUAAGAAUGGGAAGAAUGCUUCCUACAUAUGUACCUCAUCUUUCUCCCCUCCCUUUAGGUCUUCAUUCUCUGAAGGGAAUCCUGAAUCAAUAAAUUGGAAUGGCUUAGGUCAAUGAAAUUAAAUCUCAAAAUGUCAGCUUCAAGUGCAGUGUUUUUUUCUUUUUUGACUUUUACUUUAUUCCUCUUUAAAUAUCCAUUAUCCUCUCCUUCAUAAGUAGCUAGAGACAAGGUCCAAAGAGAAGGUAUUUCUGCUUAUACAUACAUCUGGGUUACACCCUAGUUAGAAAAUUUCAUUUUGAGGUAGUUUGAUCAUCUGAUCAAGGAUAUGUGCAUCUUCUCAAUUUAUUCGUUAUCACUGACUAAAAAUCCAUUUUUUCUGUUUCAGUAUUUAUUCAUUACAAGCAAUUAAAUGUAUGAAAUGUAGGAAAUAAAACUGCUAAUGAGGUUUCAGCUCUUAACGUUCUCUCACGGGAGCUGGUAUCCUGAGAGUGAAUGAAUGUUUGGGAAGUCUUGACCAUGCUUUCCUAUCUUACUGUCUAAAACUAUCAAGUAUCAUCUUUAAGUGUAUGAGUAUGUGUGUGUAUGUAUAUUCUCACCUCUUCCCAAGAAUUUGAACUUGGAAAUCAGCUGGGUUGGUUGGAAUCCUGUACCUUCUUCAACACUUUGCAUGUCUUUGCAUAAGCUUUUAACCUGUUUUGUCUCAGUUUCUUCAUCUGUAAAAUGGGAUGAUAAAAUAGUGUCAAUCUCUUAGGGUAAAGACUUAAAGAUUUGGUAUCUAAAGCUUUUAGGAUAGUACCAGUUGUAAUUGCAUUGAUUUUUAUUAUGAGCAUCAUGAGAUCUGAUGAUUGAGGAGAGAGACUCAGGAGAGAUUGAGAUCUUUGUGAAAUUUGCUCAAGGAUUGUGAAGAUGCAGGGAGGCCAGCAGGCUGGAGACCCAGGAAGGAGCAACACUUCAAGUCUGAAGACUGUCUGCUGGCAAAAUGCCUUAUAAUUUUGAGUUGGUUUUACCUUCCAAAUCAUCAAAAUUGUAUUCCUCUCUCCCCCAGCUCAUUCCUUCCUUACCAGAAAGUUUGCCUGUAUGCCCCAGCCAGCUCACUCCAUCGUGGAUCCUCAGCAAGCAAAAUAUCUUGGACCUUCCACUUAUCAAUUCAAAACUCAAUUCAGAGGCUCGUCUUGAAUCUCUGUUUCAGAGUUCCGUUGUGGCUCAGUGGGUUAAGAACCCAAGCGUGUCUGUGAGGAUGCAGGUUCAAUCCCUAGCCUUGCUCAGGGGGUCAAGGAUCUGGAAUUGCCACAAGCUGCAGCACAGGUCACAGCUAUGGCUUGGAUCCAGGUUGCUGUGGCUGUGGCGUGAGCCUGCAGCUGCAGCUCAGAUUUAACCCAUGGCCUGGGAUUUUCCAUGUGCUACAAGUGUGGCCAUAAGAAAGGAAAAAAAAAAAAAAAUCUCUGUUUCUCCCUGUGUGUCUGGUCCACCAUUCGACAUGAACAACAGAUAGAUUCAGACAUUGCUUUACUAUAUUUCAGAUUCUCUCACAGCAGAGGCACCUACCCUGCUUCUUUGCUAAAUGGAAGCAGCCAGAGGAAGAGUUAUGGGCAGGAGGAGCUGGACUUCUGGCCCUUCCUGCUUCUGUACCAGAGCCUAGCAGUCUGGUGGCUCUAUUCCUGCUCAUUUCUUUGUAUUUCUGCUCAAUUUCUUGGCUUUGAAAAUGUAAAUAUUUUUUAAACUGACCAUGAUUUUUUUUUUUUUUAUGUUUUAUCUUCCACUAAUUGUUAUCUGAGUGAAAGAAUAUACAAGAGCUUCUGCUUCCUAAGCCGUUCUGACUCAAAGACUGGACUUUUUUUUUUUUUUUUUUUUUUAGGGCUGCAUGUGCAUCAUAUGGAACUUCCCAGGCUAGGGGUUGAAUCAGAGCUGCAGCUGCCAGCCUACACUAUAGCCACAGCAAUGCCAAAUACGCGCCACAUCUGUGACCUACACCACAGCUCACGCAAUGUUGGAUCCUUAACCCACUGAGCGAGGCCAGGGAUCCAUCCUGUGUCCUCAUGGAUACUGUAAGGCAGGUUCUUAACCUGGUGAGCUACAGUGGGAGCUCCCGACUUAGUUUUUAAUGAAAGAUAUUUGUUUUUAUUCAGAAGUUGGAAAUAUUAAGAAUAUUCUCUGAUCUCCUUGAUUUUGUAAUGUUCAUUUUCAUCCUCUGACCUCUUUUGUAAGGUGUAGAUGUAUCACUUGGUAGUCUUACCAAAUCUCUCACUUGCCCCCCAAAUAGAAACAAGCUGCCUUGACCACUGCACCCCAGGAAGGAUAUAUUCCCACUUCUAGACACUGACUCAGGUGGAAGGAGGGGCAUCACUACCAAGCUUUUUUGAAGGAGAAGAAAAGAAUUACUAUUUUGAGGCUGCUUUAUUUUAUUUUAUUUUUUUAUUUUUUAUUUUUUAUUUUGUCUUUUGAGCACCCCACCCACAGCACAUGGAGGUUCCAGGCUAGGGGUCCAAUUGGAGCUACAGCUGCCAGCCUACACCACAGCUCACAGCAACGCCGGAUCCUUAACCCACUGAGCGAAGCCAGGUAUCGAACCGGCAACCUCCUAGUUGGGAUUAAUUUCCACUGCACCACGACGGAAGCCUGUUUUAUUGUAUUUUAAAUUAUAUUUAUUUAUUUAUUUAAAGGCAGCACCCACGGCAUAUGGAAGUUCCUGGGCUGGGGACUGAAUCUGAGCCACAGCUACAACCUCCUCUGCAGCUACAGCACAUGGGAUCCUUUAACCCACUGCUUCUGGCAGGGGUUGAACCCAUUUUUGAGGCUGCUUUAAAUAAAACAGUCUGACUUUUAAAUAAAUGUAAACAUUACCAAGACUUUUAAGCUUUUUUUUUUUUAAAUCUCCAUUACUAAAUAAUAUUAUUUUCUGCUUCCUAGGGAAUAGAAACUAACUAAAAAUCUGUUUGUUUGUUUGU
rnacentral:lncRNA from 1 species